GAAUGGGGAGGGGGUAUUGUUGAGUUCCGUACACCGUGUAGAGAGAGUGUGUGUGAGAGAAAGCUGUUGCGACCAUCGUAGAGGAUCGGGACAGAUGUUGUGCCUGCAGAGUGACGAGGAGACAGGCAAUAGUGAGAAUAGUUAGUUCGUUGACCAUGGCCAUGACGAUGAUGAUGAUGAUAGCGGGCAGACAAACAACCAUCUGCAGCCGCAAGCCGCGCCGCAAGCCCGGGACGCUGUGAAGUUACGCGGGGACGAGAGAGAGAGAGAGUCUCCCGCAGCAGCAAUCAUCCACAUCCAAGCAACAGUCGUCGAUCCCAAUGGGCCCAGCCCUGGCUUCCUCAUCUUCUUGUUUCUUCUUCCUCCUCUUCUUCCUCUUCCUCUUCCUCCUCCUCGCCGUCGUCUUCUGCUUCUUCUUGAUCCCCUUUUAACACAGCAUUUUCCCUUCUCCAACCACCAACCAGCGCAAAUUUGUCAGCCGGGAAAGUUAGCUACCUCAGUCCAAUUGGAACUUUAUCCUCUUCUCUCUUCCUCCCGCAUCGAAUCGACGCAAGGACGACGAGGGGCUUCUCAACCACGACUGGACCUGGACCUGGACCUGGACCUGGACCUGCAGAAUACUCAAGAAGAAUAAUAGAUAAAUUAAUUAUACGAUCCCGAUCCCGAUCCUAUUCCUAGUCCCACUCCCACUCCCAAUUCCAAAUCAACCACCACCUUGCUCGCCGGGAUGUGUCGUUGAUUGUUUUGAAUCUUCUGGGGGGUUUCCAGCGGCCUCGGCCUCCCCUCGUCCUCCACGCCUACGUCAUAGCUGCCCCUUCCACGAAACGAACUUCCGCCCACGUCGCAUUUUUUUUUUUGACUCCUCGUCUCCGCAGCUCAUCCACACCCCGCCUCAAGCUUGUUGGAAUCUGGCUCUGGACCCAAAAGCUGCCUCGUGGUAGAAGCUUGUUUCCCUGCGCUGUUUAUUUGUCGGUGUGGCGCGCGCAACCGCCCUCGCGGUUGUUGAUAUAUAGCCUUACCAUACAACCAACCAAGUUCGAUGCCCGUUUGAUCGGUUUACACUUGCCACCGUAAUUCCUACCUACUACGUCACACCCCAUAGUUGUGAUCUGUCCAUUGUUGCUUGCUGCCGUUGCAUUCUAGCAAACCAUGCUCCCUUUUGUAUCCAUCUCUACCACAGCAUGGCGUUCGCUUACCACCAUGAACAACUUCGUUAUUUGACAUUCGACGUUUUGACGUUCCUGCUUUGAGGAAUUAGAAAUAAUAAUUUUUAUAUUAUAUAUUUUAUUUAACUGGAAGAGGGGCAAAAGAUAAAUUACGGAUUCCCCUUCUCCGGAUUCACGUUCCCAUUCCCUUUACUACAACGAGGGCUACAGAAUCAGAAUCAGAAUCUCGUUUCUUCCAAAUUAUGUCGGCGACCACCGCGUCUUUGCCAUCUCCUCAAGCUUGGAGUCCCAACGUCGCAACUAACGCAGUGUCUACUACCCCGUUGGGAAUGCCGCCACGGACACCCGCGUCAGUCGGCCAGAUGGCGGCUCCUAUUCUGGGUUCUGGAGGUGCCCUCUCACCGCGAGUCCUGCGCGAUUCGUGCAAUGGCUACUUCGGCGUCGUCGAUUUCAAUUCCAACAACCCGCCAAACUCGACAGCGGGAAAACAUACGCGCAAAACCUGGAAUUUAACGUCGGGCUCGCCAGGUGCUGGGAAACAAGGGAAUCGUCAGCCCUCUGAAUACAACUUCGAAUCGGCUGGGUUUGUUGCUGGCCAUAGAAUCACGUCCAGUUUUGAGAAACAAACGCAGGCCCUUCGCGAUAGAGAUCGCAGGGCUGAGGAGAGGCGUGAGAUGCAGACGCCCCCUUCACCACAUGCCAUCGACGCCCCGUUCGCUACAUCGCGAUAUGAUGACAAGACUAGCUAUAUGAGCAUCGAUCCACACUCGAAUCGCUCAGCAGG
rnacentral:sRNA from 2 species